CUCAGAAGGAUGAGGUGGUUGACGAUGACGAACUCCUGGAAUUAUCUCAGAAAGUCGUCAACGUCACAGUUGUAGAAAGGGAUGGUGAGAUUGACGCAAAUCAAUCUUCACCACUCUAAAGCAGCUUCCGCUGCACUGCUCCUCCGAGUGGCACAAAGUGGGGAGGAGCUAGUAAUGGUCCAAGAACCAUGGAUCCAUCAGGAAUUUAGAAGUAGUAAAUAGGUCAUCGGUACAUAAGAUUCAACAUACUACGGCCAUCACCUAAGCCGAUAAUGUUUCGAAAUAAGCCUAAAACGAAUUGAGCAAUGUCCGGGGCCUCACUAAAGAACCGUUUAGAACAGAAUACUUUUCAAUGUCGUAAUAAAAGCAUAUGGACUCUAAAGUAGAAACUUUAAAAGGUGCCAUGGUUGAAUCAUUCGAGAACAGCUGCUCUCUGUAGUGGUAAAAGUAUUUUCGGACUAAAAAAAUUGAGAAUUGUUUAAAAAAUAUUACAAAUAUUAUAGUGUAAACAUAAAAUUCAUUUUUCGGAUUGAUUUUUUGAAAAUACAAAUUACUUUCAUAUUACAUUUAAUUGGAGUUGUGUUAAUACUCAGCAUUGUAGUUUGAAAAAACCUUUAACUUGGUGGAUAUAAGAAAAUCGUUCGAAUAACCAAGCGAUACUCCGAGGAUGAGGAAUUAACGAUCGAAUGGACUCUCUUAUCCCACCUGUUAUAUCGGAUAUAAUGAACUGAUAUUACGGGAAGAUGAGGCAAACACUGAGAAAGUUAUUACAUCUGGGGGCUAAUUCUCGCACUCGUAUACGUACGAAAACAUACUCGAAUGUACGAUUAUUUUUAAUUUUGGGAUUCUCUUAUUCGAUAACGAAUAAAUCAUAUCGAAAUUUUUAAUGAUGGCAUUCGAUAACGAGCAAUCAUUCGAAUGCAACCUUGCGAGUUUUUUCUCGAAAGCAAGUUAAUUCUUUUAGGUCAAAAAUAUCAAAAAUAAAUUAUACUCAAAAAUAAAUUCUUGGCAAUUUUAUGGCAAAUCAUACAGAUUUGGCCAAGAACUUACUGCCAAAUACUUCCCAAGGGAAAGCGCGAUCAAAUCAACUUUGGGAACAACUCACUUCUAAAUUAAAUGCUUCCGGCCCACCAGUAAAAGAUGCUAAGGCUUGGCGCAAGGUUAAGCCGAUCAAAAACAAAAUGUUAAAAAAAAAAUUUGUUUUAAUAAAUCUUCUAUAAAAAGGACUGGUGGCGGGCCAUUUGAAGAAAAAAUUCUUUCUCAGGUAGAGUAACAAAUAGUAGCUGCUGCAGGUU